ACUCAAAGGAAUUGACGGGGGUCCGCACAAGCGGUGGAACAUGUGGUUUAAUUCGACACUACGCGAGGAACCUUACCUGGGUUUGACAUGUAACUGCUACUGGUAGAAAUACUGGGUUCCGUAGCAAUACGGACGGUUACACAGGUGCUGCAUGGCUGUCGUCAGCUCGUGUCGUGAGACGUCGGGUUAAGUCCUUGAACGAGCGCAACCCUUGCCGUUAGUUGCUCGCCUGAAAGGGAAGCACUCUAGCGGGACUGCCGAGGAAACUCGGAGGAAGGUGGGGAUGACGUCAAGUCCGCAUGGCCCUUAUACCCAGGGCUACACACGUGUUACAAUGGCGAAAAACAGAGGGAUGCAAUGCCGCGAGGUGGAGCUAAUCCUAGAAAGUUCGUCUAAGUUCAGAUUGAAGUCUGCAACUCGACUUCAUGAAGUUGAAAUCGCUAGUAAUCGCAUAUCAGAACGAUGCGGUGAAUACGUUCUCGGACCUUGUACACACCGCCCGU
rnacentral:rRNA from 1 species